rfam:Strongylocentrotus purpuratus Contig10260_fixed, whole genome shotgun sequence.
GGCACGGUGGCUCAGUGGUUAGAGCGCCCGCCUCUUGAACGGGAGGUCGUGAGUUCGAACCCCGGCCGAGUCA